UCGAUUUCAUCUUCUUCAUCAACAUAUGUUAAUGUUUCUAUAUGUUACCGUUUCUAUAUUUUUAAGUUUAUGUUAAUGUUUAAAGAUCUAAAAUAUUAAUUUGUGUGAAUCUUACAGAUUUAAAUCUUGGAAAAUAAGACAAAGAGAGAGCGGGUGAAGAAGAAAGAGAGUUAACAGGGGUUUGCGUGCUAUUGGGAAAGGAUGCUAGAAGUUAAAGAAUUUGACUUUGAGUGAAUGUUAUUUCCUAAGUGACAAGGGCUUGGAAGCAAUUGAUAUUGGGUGCAAGAAACUCACUCAUCUCAAAGUCAAUGGAUGCCACAAUAUUGGAACCUUGGGACUUGAAUCUGUUGGGAAAUCAUGCGAACAUCUCUCAGAGUUAGCAUUGCUUUACUGCCAAAGAACUGGUGAUCUUGGGCUUCUUCAGGUUGGAAGGGGAUGUCAAUUCUUGCAAGCUCUUCACUUGGUAGAUUGCUCAAGCAUUGGAGAUAAAGCCAUCUAUGUUCGUGUUUGAUUUUCUAUAUG